rnacentral:rRNA from 1 species
UCUGAUUAGCUAGUUGGUAGGGUAAAAGCCUACCAAGGCAUCGAUCAGUAACUGGUCUGAGAGGAUGACCAGUCACACUGGGACUGAGACACGGCCCAGACUCCUACGGGAGGCAGCAGUGGGGAAUUUUCCGCAAUGGGCGAAAGCCUGACGGAGCAAUACCGCGUGAGGGAGGAAGGCUCUUGGGUUGUAAACCUCUUUUCUCAGGGAAGAAGAUCUGACGGUACCUGAGGAAUCAGCAUCGGCUAACUCCGUGCCAGCAGCCGCGGUAAUACGGAGGAUGCAAGCGUUAUCCGGAAUGAUUGGGCGUAAAGCGUCCGCAGGUGGCUGCUUCAAGUCUGCUGUCAAAGCUCAGGGCUUAACCCUGAAUCGGCGGUGGAAACUGAACAGCUAGAGUGCGGUAGGGGCAGAGGGAAUUCCCAGUGUAGCGGUGAAAUGCGUAGAGAUUGGGAAGAACACCGGUGGCGAAAGCGCUCUGCUGGACCGCAACAGACACUCAUGGACGAAAGCUAGGGGAGCGAAUGGGAUUAGAUACCCCAGUAGUCCUAGCCGU